CCUCAACCACAGGGAUUAUACAACUUGUUUCACACAGCUUCUUGGAGCUAUCAGGAUUUGUGGGAGUCAAAUCCUUAGCUUGUUGAAGGCCUCAGGCUGAUAGUCAAAAGGAUUUCAAGCAUGCUGAAAAUGCAUGGGGUUUUUCCCUUCUGAAUGACGGCAGAUCCACACAGAAGAGAACAGUCUGGAACUGUGGCCAGUUACUGCAUUCGCUCAAGUAGCAGAGAAGUGUGCUUUGGAUCUAAAGAUCCAUACAGAUGAUGCAUAUGAGGGGAGGAGGCUAGACUUGAAGGAUUCUGGUGUCAGGGCAGGAGCCCAACAGGGUCAAAAUUUAUUUAUAUCAACCUUUUUUCAUUUGCAGACCCCUAAAAACAUUUGAAUGGAGGUGUGUGGACCCUUUUGGAAAUUGUAGCCAUAUUCUGUGGGCCCCUGGGGGUCCACAAACCACAGGUUGAAAACCACUAUUUUAGGAUAACAACAACCUUUCAUGAACCCUUUAGACAUAGUCUGCAGACCCCGCAGGGGUCCGCAGACCAGAAAACCACAAAUUUAUACUGAUCUUCUCAUGUUUCCUCUGGAAAUGUUUUUUUUUCCUUUUGGACUCUGAAAAUGAGCUGUAAGUCACUGCACUUUCUAUGUUAAUGUUCUUGCUUUGCAUUGCCCUAUUUGGGAAUUUCCAUUUUGGUUGUGUUUAAGACUGGGGAAAGAAUGCAGGAAAAUUACCUUCUGUGUAAUGCUAUAAAUAUUUAUUUUCAAACUUUAUUUAUGAAAAGAUUAUUAACAAUUUGUGUUGGGUUUUCUGACCCCCUGAUUUCUUGAUAGGUAAAGGGCGGAAUCAGGUGGGAAUACGAGGUGAGCCCUACUUUAUGGGGGCUGUCCCUGAGUCUUUUGCACCUGCAGCUACGCUGAUUUGGAUUUAAAGGUCAAGGUGAUCACACAAGUGUGAAAACCAUCAUUAUCAAUGACAUCCAGAGGAGCCUGCCUGCAGGCAAUGAAUUCCUGGACAAAAUCCAGCUGUCUGAAGAACAGUCCAGAGAAGUCAGAAGUCAAUGAUGCUGGUAGGGAAAGGGAAAUGCUUUGAGCUCAUGCAGUCACUGAGGAGACACCCAGGAGUGACAGGUUUGUAUAAUUUUUGGUGGUGCCCAGCACGGGUCCAAGU